rnacentral:tmRNA from 1 species
UUACUUGAUUUUCCACAAAUAAAUACUAUACUGAUUCGUGCUGAUUUAUUCAGCUAUGAUGCUAAACGGAAAGCGAAAUAGGCAUCGUGGACUCGGGGGCGGUACCCGACACCUCCACCAAUGACGGGGGUGAAUUUAGGUUCGACACGUGUAGUAAAGGCUUUUUCUUGCCUCCGGUAUUGUUCCGCCGUUAUCGGGCUGAUUUAUAGUUGCGAAUGAUAAUUUCGCUCCUGCCGCUUUAGCUGCUUAAUUGGUAGCGUGUGGCGUUUCAAUUCCCUUUGCGAUGAGCGCUUAGGGUGGGGUUUGCCUGCUUUCCCAGCAACAGGAAAACAGGCGCU